AGAAACUUAGGAUUAAAUAAACCAAGAGCCUUCAAAGCUCAAAAUAUGGAUGAAAACCCCAUAGUCUCUG
rnacentral:tRNA from 1 species